rnacentral:pre_miRNA from 1 species
UUAGUACUCCCUCCGUCCCAAAAUUCUUGUCUUACAUUUGUCUAGAUACGGAUGUAUCUAAUACUAAAACGUGACUUGAUACAUCCGUAUCUAGACAAAUCUAAGACAAGAAUUUCGGGACGGAGGGAGUAGUUU